CGCACUAGGUGGGGAGUUAGCGGUGCCUUGUAACUCGCAAUCCGCUACAGCGAGGCUGAAUCCUUCCUAGAGGGGGCGUAUGGUAAAGCACGGUGCUGAUAAGGGGCGUUGAGGGAUGGGUCCUGUGCAAUGCAGGGCUGUGAACCCUGUCAGGUCCUGACGGAAGCAGCAGUAAGCAGUUUUCUGUGUGUGCCGCAGGUCUGCCUGUUCUGAGUUACCUACCAGAUUACCUUUUAUGAUGCGCUUUCGACGGGGAGUGUG
rnacentral:SRP_RNA from 1 species